AUGUAGCUGUGAAUGUUUCUGAAGGAAAUGCGUCAGUCAGCAAGACACAGAUGUAUACUCAAAAGGAUUUAACUAAAGAUUAUCUAGACAAGAAGCGAAUUACAGAAGUGUGGGCAAUGUAAUGGGAUGAACGAUUACCCUCCCCAACACACAUACUGGGGACCUCCUGACCCCCCUGGAAGCUGUGAAUGUGACUUUAUUUGCAAAAAGGGUUGUAUUAGUUUGUUCUCAUGCUGCUAAAUAAAGACAUAUUCAAGACUGGGUAAUUUAUAAAGGAAAGAGAUUUAAUGCACUCACAGUUUCACAUGGCUAGGGAGGCCUCACAAUCAUGGCAGAAGAGCAAGGGAUGUCUCACGUGGCAGCAAAGACAGAAUGAGAACCAAGUGAAAGGGGUUUCCUCUUAAAAAACCAUCACAUCUCAUGAGACUUAUUCGCAACCAGUAAAACAGUAUGGGGGAAACCACCCCCAUGAUUCAAUUAUCUCCCACUGGGUCCCUCCCACAACAUGUGGGGAUUAUGGGAGCUACAUUCCAGAUGAGAUUUGGGUGGGGACUCAGCCAAACUAUAUCAAGGCUCUUUGUACAUGUACUUAAGGAUCUCAAAAUGAGAUCAUCCUGAAUUAUCCUGGUAGACCCUAAAUCCAAUGACAAACAUCCUUUGAAAAGAAACAGAGAACACCAUCUGUCAGCAGAGGUAGAACUUGGUGUGAUGCAGUCGUAAGUCAAGGAAGACCUGGAGCCACCAGAAGCUGGAAGAAGGAAGGAAGGCUUCUCCCCUAGAGGUUUUGGAGGAAGCAAGGCCCUGCUGGUAGUUUGGGGCUUCUGACCUCCAGAACUGUGAGAGAAGAACUUUGCAUUGUGAUGCCAUCUAAUUUGUGGUCAUCUGAGACAGCAGCUGUAGAAAAUGUAUACAAGAAGGGUUAAGGAACCAACAAAGGAUGGCCAACCCCCAGGGCCCAGCAACAGUGGGGAGCUAUGACCACCCCUGGGGCUGAAGGGCAGAGCUGGGCAUGUCAUCCCUGGAUCUCAGUGAGGCCAGGAGCCGUGGGAGAGGGAGGUCCUUUAAGGACUAGAGCUACGGAGAGAUACAGUGUGAAACCACAAGUGUGUGUGUGUCGGGGAUAAAUACCAUGUCCUCUCUUUCUCUUCCCAACUUCAGUUUCCUGCUGGAGCCUCCCCUUGGCCGAGCCAAUGGGAAGCUGGGGGUGUGAUCGCAGGUGUUGCUGUGCACACAGAUUGCAUCUAGGACACAGAGCAGCCUGGAGGAGCAGGCUCAGGGAAUGGGAGACGGACGACUGGAGAAGAACCAGCACAUGGGACAAUCUCCAAGACAUACUCUGGAGUCUAGCACUUUGAGACAAAGGUGUUGGCAGCGCCGGUUCCUUCUGAGAGCCAUGAGGGUCUCCUCCUCCGUUCCACUGCUGAGGGAAGCCUGGAAAGUCACAGCCAUGAAGUAGCUUAUCCUUGAUGAUGACAUGGAACCCUGGAGAGAGCAGAAACAUAGGAGGUAGAGACCCCAGUCCAAAUCCCAUCUCUGACACUUCAUGCUGUGUGACCUUGGGUAAGUCAGUCACCCUCUCUGAACCUCAUUCCUCAUUUGCAAAGCAGGACCAGGAAUGCCCACUUCCAGGGUCAUGGUGCGGAUUAGAGGGAAUAUAUUCACACUGCCCAGCACAAUGCCAACAGCAGUAAUAACCAAAUCCUAUUUUGAUGUGCCGGGUACAGGUUAAGACAGACUAGCCAAUUUAAGCCUCACAGUAAUCCAGCGAUGUAGGUAGAAUUGUUACAGAUGAGGAAAUUCAAGCACAGAGAGGUGAAGUGACUUAGGUGGGCUCAGUCAGCCAGGGAGCAGUAAACAGAGCUUCAGAAUCUACACUGUAUCCACUAUGCCAUGCGUCGAAUAGCCGGGCUCGAUGCCUCUUUGCUGGCAUUACAUCUUUGCCUCCUGGUAUUCUUGCUAACUGCCAGUCCACACUUCUCAUCUCCUUUUCUCUUAUUAGGCAAAGGACAUCUGGACUCAGCUGAUCUUUGUGAGGGUGUUAGAAAAACUGCCUACAAUUCUAAAUAGGUACCAGCAGGGGACACCAGAGGAUCGUCGAUAAACCCAUGCAGCCCCUUAGAAGCCAGGCGGAAAAAUCCUUAGCAGGCUGAAUUAGGAGAGCUGGGAGUUUCCCAACAGCGAGAGACAUGUAUCCAAGCUGGCCUGGUGCACAAUGGAUGGCACUUAUUCCUGAUUUUGCCCCUGUGGGGGGACAGAAUCCUGCCUUCUCACUGGAAGGACCCUGCUCCACAGAGUGCCCAGUAGUAGUUGGUCAAUACAUAUUUCUGCAUAAAUAUAUAGAUUUGAACCGGGAGGAAGUUCAGGAAGGCUGAGAGGGCUUCAGUGCAGACAGUAAGAGGGAGCUAUCUGGCUGGGCAGGGAAACCAAACUCAUCAGGGUCCCAUGUAAGGAAGAGGCCACUGAGGUGUUGCAGCUACAUCUAUGAAGGUGGGGCCAGGAUAAGGAAAUGCCAAGAGGUCCUAGGGCACCAGGGACCUGCAAGAGUGGGAGUCAUGGUAGGCUGAGAAAUGGCCCCUUGCAAAAUAUGCACUCCCUCAAAAAAAGCAGGGGGAGCUUUGCAGAUGUGAUGAAGGCAAGGCUUUUGGGUUGGGAGAUGGUCCCUAUAUGCCAUUACAUGUAUCCUUACAUGGGGAGGCAGAGGGAGAUUGACACAUGGUGGAGAUUGAGCCAGAUGUGGUGGCUCAUGCCUGUAAUCCCAGCACUUUGGAGGCCCAGGCGGGUGGAUCGCUUGAGAUCAGGAGUUCAAGACUAGCCUGGCCAACAUGGUAACACUCCAUCUCUACAAAAAACACAAAAAUUAGCCAGGUGUGGUGAUACAUGCCUGUUGUCCCAGCUACUUGAGAGGCUGAGGUGGGAGAAUUACUAGAACCUGGGAGGUGGGGGUUGCAGUGAGCUGAGAUUGUACCACUGCACUCCAUCCAACCUGGGUGGCAAAGUGAGACCCUGUCUCAAAAGAAAAAAAAAAAAGGCACUGUAGAGAUGGAACCAAGAGAAACUUAAAUGUGUCAGCCUCGAAGACUGGCAUUAUGUAGCCACAAGAGAAGGAAAGUUGGCAUCCCCCUGAAACUGGAGGGGAGAAUGGGGUGGGUUCUCCCCCGGAACCUUCAGAGGGGCCCUGCUGAUGACCUCAAUUUUAAUUCAGCCAUUCUGAUUUCAGGCUUCUGGCCUCCAGGGCUGUGAGAAAAUUAAUUUGCAUUGUUUUCAAUGUGCAUGGUCAUUUGUUACAGCAGCCACAGGAAAGGAACCCAGACACAGGGAGAGGGAGCGAGGUUACUGGGCUACUUAGAGAGGACCUGCAGGCAGAGAGACAUAGCCAUCGGCAGAGCCCUGGCUGGGCCUGGCGAUCCCAGGCUGCCUCCUCUUUCCCCUCCUGCUGCAGCUGUCUGUCGGUGCCUCUCAUGGGCUGACCCCAGCCAGAAGGUGACAGGCAGGCAAGGGAGCCAUGGGUGAUGCAGUCCAUUGGGCCAGCCUCCUGGGCACAGAGCUGGGCAGUGAGGGGGACACAUGGCUGAUAACCAGCACACCGCUCUGUGCCCAGCAUGCACCUGUGUAUCCAGCCAGGACCUCCACUCCCCAGGACAGCUCCAGAUUUGGGUGGACUUUCCUCUCUUCAACAAUGGGAACUUAUGUUCAUUGCCAUGCACCUUACCUUUGGCGCUUUGGAAACACUUUCUUGAAAACACCUGGACUGAUCAGAAAAAAAAGUUAUCCAUUUGAUUGCGAAUGUCUUAAUUUUGAGCUCGGGAAAACAGGGUGACUGAAUAAAUGUGAGUCAGGAGUCCUACCCUCAAAGAACCUCAAACCUAACUGUAUUUCAUACAUUCUUAAGGAUGGGACACCCAGCAGUAGCAGGCAGUACUUGGUGAUUGACUGGCGGGAUUCAGGCGGAGUGGAUAUAAUCCAAAACAGCCCCCAGAUCCCAGGAGGUGUGUUUGUGGAGUGGAUGAAAGCAUGCACUUUGCAGUCAUCUACCUGGGUUUGUAAUUCCAGCUCUUCCUCUUAAGAGCUGUGUCACCUGGGCCAAGACACUUAACCUCUCUGUGCCUCAUUUUUCUUACCUGCAAACUGGGUAUAAGUGAUGAUAGUGGUUCCCACAUACGUGUACUCUGAUGAAUAAAUGAGUUAAUAAGCAGAUAGCGCAUCACGCAGUGCCUGGCUGUCAUCGGCACUCCUCGGGGCUUGUUUAUCCUCCACUGAAAUAAAUUAGCAACUUUGGGAGGCUAAGGUAGUGGGGAUCGGCUGAGCCCAGAAGUUUGAGAUCAUCCUGGGCAACAUGGCAAAACCCUGUCUCUACUAAAAAUAUCAAAAAUUAGCCAGUGUUGUGUCACGCACCUGUAGCCGCAGCUACCUAAGAGGCAAGAGGACCCUUGAGCCCAGGAGGUUGGGGCUGUAGUAAGCUGUGAUCACCACUGCCCUCCAGCCUGGGUCAUGAGAGUGAGACACUUUCUCAAAAAAACAAAAAACAAAAAACAAAAAACAAAAAAUUAGCAACAGUUACUGAUUGCUUAGGGCCUGCUGUGCAUCAGGAAUUAUCCUAAUGAAAUCCUUGCCUCAAGCCUCCAUGGUGAGUUCUACUGUUUCCCCCAUUUUACAUGCUGAGGAGGCUGAGGUCAGAGACCUGUCCUAGUUCACACAGGGAGAGGCAGAGCUGGAGUCAAGUCUGUCUGGCUGCAAAAUUUGUCUUCUUAACUAUGACUGCUCGUUGCCUUUAACAUGGUGCAGAGAUAUUUCAGGAAACAGAGGCUUAAGCAGGAGUGUCACAGAGACUUCCCAGCAUUGAGCUGUGCCUGAGGUCUUGUGGCUUCCCUGUCUAGAAAGACCUCUUCUUGGAAAUCCUAGUACACUUUGAACUCAGUGGCACAAAGUUGCUUGGGACAUUGGAGGAACUGAGUGACCUGAAUCCAUCCUGAUUCGUGAAACGCUAGAGGAACCACUGAAGCGCAGACUGCCUGGCCAGGCCCAGCAGAUCCUGAAAUAAAUAGCACAUCCUGAGUGGAUAAGAUGGGAAUGAUUAGUGCAGUGCCCUGAUGGAAUCUGAAGAAUUAAAAGGCAUUUGCAGUCAGAAAACAGAACACGAGUGCAAUGCCCCUUGUAUCAGCCUGGCUCUGGCCUCAAUCCAAAUUGAGGAAAUUGAGGAGAGUUUGAUAAAGGGGAAAGUUUACCAAUGUGUGCUUAGGGUGCGGGAGAGCACGGUGCUCAGGGCACACACAGCGAGGAGCAGGACGUGUCUAGCACCGAAGAGGAGGGGAGGGCAAGGCCUCUGGACCCAUCUAAAGGGAUGUGGUGUUAAUUCUGAUGGGAGCUAGGGCCUGUCAGGCAUGCGACCAGCCCAAGGCAACCCUGCAGGGAGGAGCCGGUAGAAUAAAUGUCCCAGCCCAACGUGCUUUCCUCCCUGCAAUCUCUUGCUGGGGAUCCCCUUUGGCCAAACCAAACUGGAAGCCAGAGGGCACCGUGGCACCUGCAGGAUCCAUUCCCGGCCAUCUCCGACUGCACUGAGCAGCAUGGGGAAGGUGGGCGUGGAGAUUGGCAGACAGCAAACAGGUCUGCUGGGAGUUUCUCAUCACCUCCCCUUCUCCCCAGGGGAAUGUGCAGGUGGAACUUGGCAUCUCUGGGCUUGAGGGUUAAGCCCCUGACCCUUGGGACAAAGAGGAGAAAACCAUCAACCUGUUGCAAUGUUGAUGGAUUAAGCCUGAGGAUUAAGUCUCUGAGCACCUCGGAGAGAGGAUUUCGUGAAGUGAGGUUGGGGAAGUUGCUUGACUUCUCAGCAAUGUCACAAUCCAGGGACCUUGCAUACGGGUCUCCUGGAACCCUAAAGAAAAGCUUGCUUUCUUCACUCCCUUAGGGAGCUUGCCCUUCUGACCCAGCAGAAUCAGCGAGGCUUAGGAGAGGAGCGUUUCGCUCUGUCACUUAAUAUCUGCGUUCAAAAUUCAACAGCUGAACUUGGAAGCUGUGUGGCCUUAGGAUUAAUUACUUAACCUCUCUGAGCUGGUGCCAUGAAGACAAACCUCUAGACUAAAACCUGGGUUCCAAGUUCAUCUCAGCCAUUAGAAGUAGAGGUAGAGUGACUUCCCCAGCUGUGUGACCUUGAGGAAGUCACUCUACCUCUCUGAGCCUUGGUUUUCUCAUCUGCGGAAUGGAGUACCUAUCUUGACAAUUUAAUUAUGUUCCUCUGAAACUGUUAUUAAGUUAUGAAUUCCCAGGUGUGUGACUAUGACCUUA